rnacentral:rRNA from 1 species
AUUGAACGCUGGCGGCAUGCUUUACACAUGCAAGUCGAACGGCAGCACGGGGGCAACCCUGGUGGCGAGUGGCGAACGGGUGAGUAAUAUAUCGGAACGUACCCGGAAAUGGGGGAUAACGUAGCGAAAGUUACGCUAAUACCGCAUAUGCCCUAAGGGGGAAAGCGGGGACUCGCAAGAACCUCGCGUUUUCGGAGCGGCCGAUAUCGGAUUAGCUAGUAGGUGAGGUAAAGGCUCACCUAGGCGACGAUCCGUAGCUGGUCUGAGAGGACGACCAGCCACACUGGAACUGAGACACGGUCCAGACUCCUACGGGAGGCAGCAGUGGGGAAUUUUGGACAAUGGGCGCAAGCCUGAUCCAGCCAUGCCGCGUGAGUGAAGAAGGCC